GUGAAGGAAACGCUGCACAGCUCAGGAUGCUCCCUAGAAGAUGAGAAAAUGUGAUCUAAAGCACUUUUUCCUCCUCGUCUCUCAGAUCCUGCUCCGGUUUUUCCCUCUUUCUGUGUUUCAUCAAGACGAAGGUUGAGGACCAGGAAGGAGCGCUGCGACCCGACCAAAAGCAUGUUCCCACGGACGGAGCCGCUCUCAUGGGACAGCCAUGUUUUGUCCCCAUGACAGCUAGAUCACUCAGCCCUCUCUGCAGUGACCACCUGCACAGCAAAGGAUGCUGGGAAAUAAUGAGCAUUUUUAUUCCAGUCAGGACGACAAAGAUGGGGAGGAUGAGGAAGAAGAAGAAGAGCAAAGGCGAGGAAGUGACGAAGGCCUGUGGAGCAGGGAGAACGGAGGACUAGAAGGACUGGGGGGGAAGGAAAUGAUCGGCGGACGCCAGGCCUGGGAAGGGAAGGGCGGUGAGGCGGUGAAACCGGCGGCCAUUGUGGUCGGCAGACAGAGAAUGGACCGACCGCUGAGACCCGGUAACCUGGACAACCGGGGCAUUGCCCACAUGUCCAAUCAGGCACAAACGCAUCACCACGCUGCCAACAAGCUGCAGCAGCAACACCUCAUAGCGGCAAAACGGCGAGCGCUGAUGGAGCGCAGCAUGACCGCCAUGGCGCCUCGUGAGGAUGCCUUCCUGACUAUGAUGGUGUUCCGCAUCGGGAUCCCUGACAUCAAACAGACACGGUGCCUCCAGUUUGACCAGGACUGCACCGUGUGGAGCGCCAAGCAGCAGAUCGUCUGUUCGCUUGGCGAGUCCCUGUGGGACGUCUACAACUACGGACUCUUCCAGCCGGCUGGAGAAGGACGAGAUGCCAAAUUCCUGGAGGAGGAGCGCCCCCUACGGGACUAUGCACGCACCUUUGAGAAAGGGGUUCCCUACCUCGAGUUUCGGUAUAAAACCAGAGUUUACAAACAGACCAACCUGGAUGAGAAGGCUCUGGCUAAGCUCAGCACCAAGGCCAGCCAGAAGAAGUUUCUGGAAUACGUCCAAACUGGAGCGAUGGAGAAAAUGGCAAAAGUUCUGGAAAAAGGUCUGGAUCCAAAUUUUCAUGACCCUGACAGCGGAGAGACGCCGCUGGCGGUGGCGGUGCAGUCCGGCCUGCCGGUGGACGGCGUCCGGCUGCUGGUUCUGGGCGGGACCCACAUGGAUUUCAGGAGCCGUGACGGCAUGACGGCGCUGCACAAAGCUGUGAGAGCUCACAACCAUGCCGGACUGCUGGCACUUUUGUCCCUCGGAGCGUCUCCGGACUACAAGGACCGCUGUGGCCUGACCCCGCUGUACCACACUGUGCUGACAGGGGGCGAAACGUCCUGCUGCGAGACGCUGCUGUAUUACCGGGCGAAGCUGGGCACCAGGGACGAGAACGGCUGGGAUGAGAGCCAUCAGCACAGGGAUGAAGAGGAAUUUGGAAUGGAAGAAAUCCAUAAGGCUUGCCAGAACGGCUUUGCUCAACACUUGGAGCAUCUGCUGUUUUAUGGAGCGGACACGGCUUCUCAAAACGCCUCAGGGAACACUGCACUUCACAUUUCAGCGCUCUACAACAAGGAAAGCUGCGUCCGGGUUCUGCUGUACCGGGGGGCCAACAAGGAGGCGAAGAACAAACAUGGCCAGACUCCUUUUCAGGUGGCUGUGAUGUCAGGUCACUUUGAACUUGGAGAGAUUAUUAAAAACCAUAAAGACAUGGACGUUGUUCCCUUUUUAGAGUCACCAAAGUUUGUUCCCAGGCGAAAGGAGAGCGUCCACACGCUGCCUCUCCCCUCGCUCCAUUCCCACCCGCUGCUGCGCGCCAACAGCGACAACACCGUGACCGGUUCCGACCCGCUGAUCCUCCCCGCCAAGGCCGCCACCAACCCGGGGCAGGGCCAGCGCCGGGCCUCCAUCGGGGUCAGGAGCUCCAGCAGCCCCCGGAACCGAACCCGGUCCCCGUCCAGAGGCAGAGGAGGCCAGAGCGAUACGGAGGAGCGGCACCGGCAGCCUAGAGGCCGGCAGGGCGCGGCGCCGGGCGGCGGUCAGAUGAAGCGGAUGUACAGCGCGGUGCCGGGCCGGGUUUACGUCGCCGUCCGCUCUCACUCCGCCAGCGGAGACAGAGAAAUCUCACUUAACAAAGGCGACAAAGUAAAAGUGCUGAGUGUGGGAGAGGGGGGCUACUGGGAGGGAACGGCGAGAGGACGCACCGGCUGGUUUCCCUCCGACUGCGUGCAGGAAGUGGCGCCGCCCAGCAGAGAGAAAGAGACGCGGAGCGAGAAGGCCAAGAGGAAACUUUUCCGUAACGUCACAGUGGGAGCAUACGACGGUACCGAUGGGCCAAGCGACUACAUCAUUAAGGAGAAGACAGUGCUCCUACAGAAGAAAGACAAUGAAGGCUUCGGCUUUGUGCUCAGAGGAGCCAAAGCUCAGACUCCCAUAGAGGAGUUCACGCCAACGCCAGCCUUCCCUGCGCUGCAGUACCUGGAGUCUGUUGAUGAGGGGGGCGUGGCCUGGAUAGCGGGCCUGAGGAUGGGGGACUUCCUCAUCGAGGUGAACGGCCAGAAUGUGGUGAAGGUGGGUCACCGGCAGGUGGUCAACAUGAUCCGGCAGGGCGGCAACAGCCUCAUGGUGAAGGUGGUGAUGGUCGCUAGGAACCCGGAGCUGGAGGACACGGCUCGGAAGAAAGCCCCGCAGCAGUCGAAACGACUGACCCCUCCUGCCAUCUCCCUGCGCUCAAAGUCGAUGACAUCAGAGCUGGAAGACAUGGUGGAGAAAGCCGCCGCCUCGCCCUGGAAGAAGAAAGCAGAGUAUGAACCCUCUCAGGGUCCAGAUAAGAAGAGGACCGUUUAUCAGAUGGCGCUAAAUAAGCUGGAUGAAAUCUUGGCUGCUGCUCAGCACACCAUCACAUCCGACAGCCAAGGUCAGAGAGGUCACGGAGGCAAGAGGGACCGGAGCAAGAGCAUCGUUCCCAACCUUCCCACUGUUCCCAACGAGCAGCCGUAUGAGCAGCCGUCAUCCGUGAGUCUGAUGCAGACUGGGCAAGGAUUUGGCUACAACCAGGCCCAUUUCCAACCUGGCCAUGGACCUCAGCAUGCAGUCAUGAUGCGCCAGAAAUCCAUCGGUGUGACGGAAGAAGAAAGGCAGUACCUCCACCCACCUGCUAUGAAGCUAGCUCGCAGUCUUUCAGUGCCAGGACCAGAAGACAUCCCACCGCCCCCCAACACGUCUGCUCCAGAGCCACCUUUAUCCGCAGGUCCUUAUACUGGUAGAGGGCCUGCUAUGCCAAUCCCCCCUGUAUCUCAAGCCCACUACCAGUUCCACUCACAGCCAGCCCAUCCUACGCAGGCUGCCUGGGAGAGGGGAGGACCUGGUGGGAUGAACCAGCAGGUCAUGGUUCCCACCCUCCGCAGGCAGUCCGACGGACUCUGCAUAAGAGAGCCAGAGGCACCUCGGAGAGGUGGUGGCAAGAUGGGAGGGCUGAGGAGAGGAUACAGCAGUGCCACACCACCAACAAGUGCAAAGCCAAAGCCUCAACAGGUGCAGCAUCCUGUGCAACUCACCAGCCGGGAGCAAGGUGGAGGAGCCGGAAGGGGAGUAGCGAGGCGUGGAGGUCGUGGAGCUCUGAUCAAGCAGUCAAAGGUGGAAGACGGGCUGAGACAACAUAGGGGCAAAGGAGGUGCUACCAAAGAGAAGAGUUCUAUCCCCAUCCCUACCAUCAUCGUCAAAGCGCCGUCCACCAGCAGUAGUGGCCGAAGCAGCCAGGGUAGCAGCAUAGAAGCAGAUCCGUCUCAGGAUGUGGAGGACCAAACCUCUGGGAACGCAGCUCCAGACAACUCCAGCACAAGCCUACCUUCACCACUGACCCCCACACCGCCUCAGCCGACUACACCCAACUCCUUGCCUUCGAGUGUCGCACCCGCCGUCUCUUCUCAGCAAAACCUGGAAAAAUUGGACUAUACCUCAACAUUUGGCACAGCAUUUAGUGGAGGAGGAACACGCAGGGACAGGGAGCGAUUAAGAGACAUGAGAAGAAAGAGCGCUUCCUUCUACCAGUCGUCAGAGGAAGACAUCCAAGGAGAGGCAGGUGGUGGAGAAGGAGGAGGGACACUUGAGACCCAAGUUCAGCCUCUGCAAGGCUCAAAAAUGGAGGUACCCACCCCUCGACUUCGGCCUUCCAAGUCUAUAGAUGAAGGCAUGUUUUCUGGAGACAACUUCAUGAACUAUUCCAGCAGCAUGCCCCCAGCCUUUGGCCUUCCAGAGUACUCCUCACCUGUCCUUGGCCAGGAUGGGCAGCCCAAGUCAGCCCCCUCAGUGUAUGGCAGCCAGCCUGCUACAACUUUUAUCCAUCCACUAACAGGGAAAGUGCUUGACCCCUCGUCCCCACUUGGCCUGGCACUGGCUGCGAGAGAACGAGCUCUGAAAGACGACCGCAGGACGCGUCGAGAUGACAGGCACUUUGGCCGGCAGAUGUCCACAGUUGGAUCCUUCCCUACACCAAUUCAGACCCCAACACCUUCGCUGUUUGCAACCCCGACGCAAUCGGCAUAUACUUCUCCGGUGUCCCUUCACCUCGGAUCCCCAUCCGCCACCGCCUCCCCUGCGUCUUUGAGCCGGCCGCAGUCACCAAGGAUUUUACGUUUAGGAGGUGGAGGAGGAGGUGGGGAGAGGAUGGAGAGAGAAAGAGAUGGAGGGCCUAAAGAGGGUCUUAGAGUUCGUUUCUCUGAGGACAGAAACAGCCAGUUUUCAGGCCAGUACUACCCACAGAGCAGCAGAGAGAGAGAGAAGGAGAUGUACGAAAGCAAACAUGCUCAGGCUGUUCAGCCUCCUCCCCCGCCAGCUCAACCUGCCCCCCGUAGACCCUCCUACUUGCAGAUGGAAAACGUUCCCAACACAAGCUAUAUUCCACAGUACACUGUCCCCACAGCUCCAUCACAGACUAACGACGCAAUGGGAGAAGCAAGAGCCGGGGCGGGCGGCCUGGGACUGAUGGUUCUCCCUCCUCCUGCUCCCUCAAUAGACGUAGAUGAGGAGUUUGUUUUUGCAGAUCCUUUGCCCCCUCCGCUACAAUUUGCUAACGGAAAGAAUGAGAGAGCAAUGGAGUUCUCUCAGCAUCAUCAACGCCAGAGUCAACACCCUGCUCCUGCUGCCCCACCUCCACCACCCCCUCCUCCGUCUCCUAAGCCCUCAAAUGCUCCCCAACAGUCUUCACAAUGUGGCGACUCUGCCGCCUCAAGCCUCACCUCCUACGACAGCGAAGUGGCCAACCUCACGCAGUCUGCACUUUCUCCAUCGUAUCCGUCCCCGCAAAUAUUUGCACCGUCGUCCAACACCACCACCACCUCAGUGGCUGCUGCAUCACUACACAGACCCCAGCCCAUGUCACAUGCCCAUCCUUAUUAUGGCAGCACCAAUGACCCGUUGGUUGGGGUUCAGACGCCAGCCCAGGACAGAGGCACAGCUGCCCUUACCACCACCAUGACCUACGCAACAACAACAAUGACAGCAACUGCUGCUGCCACAACCACAACAGCCUCUCCUGCUUCCUCCGACUACAGCAUGGCUGGGCCCAAAGUAGGCCUUAGCACAGGGAGUAAAGGAACCGAUCCCACUCAUUCCAGUACUAUGAUUCCCAAGAGUGGAGACUGGCAGGACACAGUGGUAGAUUCUGGCAUUGAGGAGCUGGACAGUCAUAGCAGUAGUGACCAUCAUCUAGAAAUGCUGGGACUUGGUGGCUUGAGAGGAGAAAAAAUUGGACUUGGAGGUGAUGGACGAGGAGGGGAGGGAGAGAAAGUCAACGAACAUCAGGAUCCCUGCACAAUCUACCGGGGAGGGCAACCGUUUGAUGUGCACACCUCCAAAAUGGCAAACCCCGUCUUUCCAAAGAUGACGCAUUACAAGGAAAUGGAAGGGAGAGGCCCGCCUAUAGCGUUACGCAGGCAGAACAGCACCAACCCGGCUCCUUUGCAGUUGCAAAGACAAAGCCACCCUGAAGAUGCCGGUUUGGAGAGAACUCUUGUUGACGACAGAAAGCACAAGCAGAGUCGGGCCAGAAUGGAAGAUGGCUUUAGCUCCGCGCUGGCGGCCUGUCUGGAGAGGCCCAUGGAGCCUCGGUCAGUGGUCUGGGGUGACAUCGCUGAACACGAACAAGAAGGAGUCCAGCAUGGCGGUAUGGUGUUGGAGGGUCGCGGGCUUCACUCGCCUUUUUCCGGUGUGAAAGCCAGCAUCAUCAACGAGUUAAGUUCCAAACUGCAACAGAUGAGUAGCAUGAAGAGUAUGGAUGACUGGAGUCACGUUCCUAAGUCCCCCUCCAUGCAUAGGUAUUCAGCAGAUUUUACCGAUGCCUUCCACAGCCCACCGACCGGUCGCUCCACCUCGCCACUACCGACCUCCUCCCCGCAGCAUCGACAGAUCCUGACUCCCAACCUCUCGGCCUCCCCUUCUGUCUCUCCGUCUCCUCAAGUCCCCGUUCAGCGCAACUGGACCCGCUCCCCUUCUCCUCAGAUGCCGACCUCCCCGGUACAUUCCCAUCCUCCCCAUUCCCCAACCUACUGCCCAUACCCAACAUCACCUAAGCACAGAUCUAAGUUGCGCAGGCAGACUUUUGAUUUUCAGUGUAGUCCCUCUAAAGAGAUGCGGUCAUCGGUUUCCAGGCGCCGGGCCCCCAGCCCUCUCAUCUACAACACCGAACAGCAGAACCCAACACCACCCAGACCUUCCUCUCUCCCCAUCCUUCCCUCCACACCUAUCUACAGUAACCCGUUUGACUUUCCUGGCCCUCUCACACCUCCAUCUCCUGGUCACUCUCUCGGAGAUCCCUACCACGCCUCGACUCCCCCGCUGUUCUCUCCUUCCGGUGUGCCGAGUCCGAACCCUCUACUAGUCUCACGCUCUCUCUCCCCGACUCAUUUCUUCUCGGGAGCCUCCUCCCCAUUGCAUCUACCACCCAGCCCUUCUUGUCUCAACUACCCCAACCUCAGCCCCGCUCCCCCUGCCAGACCCUUUGCCAUCAAACCUCUACCCUACUGGACCAAGUACGACGUUGCCGACUGGUUGACUUACUUAAAUUUGGGUGAACACAGGGAGCGUUUUAUAGACAACGAGAUAGACGGAUCUCAUCUCCCGUCACUUACUAAGGACGACUUCUUGGACCUGGGAGUGACCCGAGUGGGGCAUCGAAUGAACAUCGAGCGGGCCCUCAAGAAACUCACUGACAGGUGAGGGAGGACGAAAACGGGCUCAGGGCGAUGUAGAGGCGACUCAAACGGUCCAAAAGGAAACACUGGAUGGUGAAAGAGCGUCAGAGUGUCUCGUUAGCUUCAUUUGAAGAAACCUUUCCAGGAAACAAAUAAUCUCUCCCAUGACUUCAUCCAAGGUACUUAGUCUGGGUGACAUGAUGUGCUCUGAAUCAUCAUUGAGGUAAUUUUUUGUUUCUCUUUAAAAGAAAAAGUAUGAUUCAUUAUGAUGAUUUGUUUUUUCUUACAGAAGUUUUUGCACUCCUUAAAUUCUUCCCAUUGUGCCACAACUAAAGUCUUUUUAGCAGGAUUGCGUGUGACAGAUCAAAGCGGUGCAUCUUUGUGGAGUUUGAGGAAACUGAUCAGUGCUAAUGCGCUAAUAGCAGAGCUAAUUUUUCUGUUUAGCAUUUUGCUAGCUUUAGAAACGCUUAGCACAUUUAGCUUGCCCUAUGUCAAUUUUCCCAGCUAAUUUACGUUGCUAUUUUCUGACCUUUGAGCUGAAAAGAGUUUGUGAUUAAUAUUUGAUUUUCAACAUUUAAGAAUCCUUCAAGAAGUUAGACGUUUAUAUUCACGCUCUUAUUUUGAAGUGGAUAAACACCUUUACGCAUCAGUUCCGGUCCUCACGUCUUUUCCGUUCUUUCACUAAACUUUAUUGAGAAAUGGCAAUAAUACAGCAUUUACAUAAACAAGCAACCAGUGGUGUUAAUUUAAAAAUGCGUGCAAAAAUAUCACAUAUAUGAAUUGUUAGACCCUGUUUGGGUGUCAACUCAGUUUCAUUUAGCAUCUUAGCAUUUGCUUCUGCUAAAUAUCAUGUUGGUGUUGCGCUUUAGCAUUAGCAGAACUAAAUGCAGCUAACAUUUUAGCUAACCUAAACUGGUUUAGCUGAUCCACUGUUGCAGUUUCUCUUUCUGAAGGUCUUUUCCUUCUUGCUGGUUAAUCUCAAGGUCAGGAUCUGACAGGAUGUCCUUCCCUCGUCCCACCUUGUGUUCAAGGCUUUUGUUCUUUCCAGUGUUUCUUCCUGAGGUAUUUGUGGACCUGCCUUUGACUAAUAACUUCCAGUGCAUGUUUAGUGAGGACUGUCAGAUAUUUCUCUUCUUGCAGAAACUUUUCCUCUGCUGAUGACAGACAGUGACUCCAGAGCAUCACAAGCACUCAGAGCUGAGGGGAAAUGUUCCUCUGGCUGAAAAUAUUUGAUUCUUAAUCAAGUUGGCUGGAAAUUGUUUAAUAAACUCAAAUUGAAUAGAAUUGGAUUUUAACAAGUUUGAUCUCAUUUGACCUGGAGGUUUAACUACCAACUGUCCAGACAUAGAAUUCAUACUUUUAAGUAUAACUUUAAUAUUUAGGAAUAAAGUAAAUAAUAAAAAUGGCCCUUGUAAUGCUAGUCACUUUAAUCCAACUCCACUCCGUUUGGUAAUGUCUGAAUGUGUAAUAAAAUCAAAAAAGUGACCUCUGAUUCGGUUUGAAUGUGAACGCC